rnacentral:rRNA from 1 species
UUGAAAAAAUUGAUUAAGUCUUCGAUCGAUUAGUAUUCGUCAGCUCCACGUGUCACCACGCUUCCACCUCGAACCUAUUAACCUCAUCAUCUCUGAGGGAUCUUAUAACCGAAGUUGGGAAAUCUCAUCUUGAGGGGGGCUUCAUGCUUAGAU